AUGAUAGUAGCACAAAGUUUUAAUGAGCUUAGAAGCGAUUCACAUCAUGGAUAAUCCUAUAGAAUUCAAUGGUGUUGUUGUUGCCUUUACAACAAUACAUUUUCUCUGUUGCAAGUAAUUAAAAAUAAAUUAGUUCUAUUUAUCAAAAACAAAAAUCAAUUUCUCCUAAGACUUAGUUGGAGGAGUUAUGUUAGUCUGGUAAAGGAUAUUCUUCAGCUAGGGGAGGGAUUCUAGGGCGUAUAUUUCUAUGUAAAAAGAAAACUAGCUGUAACUGUCCACAUAUAAUGGUCUUAACUCACUAAAGAAACAAAGGAGAUAAACAUAUCAGUCCCAUGUCUCCUGUCUUUAGAGGAAAAUUGAGGAUGGAGUUAGAUAUAUUAUGACAAACUUUUCUCUCUUAUGAGCUUCUGUUGGGUUCUAGGAAGUUACUGUCAUUAGAGUUUUAUUCCUUUUUAUAGGUCAAAUAAAUUUCUACUCUUCCAAUUUCCAUAUUGACGUCCAAAUGGUCUUUACAUCAUUACCCCUCAAACAGGAAGUUAUGGUAAGACUUCUUGGAGAAUCAUUUGAGAAGGUCAUCUUCCAUGCCUUCUUAUCACCGUAACUCUGUAAAGCUUAUAUACCUGUGAGGAAAUCUUUCCACAUUGUCAAUUUUCAGUGUUAUAUACUUGUCUAAUUUUUUUUUUGGUUGCCAGUCUCAUUCCUUAUUAUGAAUCUCUGCAACUACGGCUUCCUUUGCAGUUGUGAUUCAAAAGAGACGAGAAAAUUCAGCUGUUAGAGCGGUAUGACGUCCUUUGCAGUUGUGAUUCGAAAGAGACGAGAAAAUUCAGCUGUUAGAGCGGUAUGACCAAGCCAACAUUGAAUACAGUUCCUAAAAGAGAUUCCUACGAACCUCAUGAAAUCCUUUCUCUUCAUAAUCUUUUCCGUUAAGCUUGUUUUCUAAGAGGGAGUUGCCACUUUCCAUAACCAUCCAAAAUAUGUGGUUAUACUUUUUUUCUUGAGAAAGGUAACAAUGUUAUAUAUCAUUAGCACAAAGACAGUGCUAAGUCCCAUUUUUACAAAAAGAGCAAAAGUGUUCCCUUAGUUCUUACAAGUUACAGCGAAUCUAUGAUGUGUAACAAUUAAUUUAUUUCUAGAAAUUCAUAUACUUUCCGUUGAUCAGUUCAUUCCAUCGAGCAUUCUCUUAUUUUUAUAGCUUUCCAUAACCAUACCAAGAGGGCUCAGUUGAACAUUUUUAUUCCCCAAAUGCUAAAACUAUGAUUCCUACCGAGGCUCUUCCGAUCCUACAGGUGCUCUAUCUCUCCCAACUAACCAGGUGAAAUUUCCUAUCUCAUUCAUUUGCCCUCAAAAGGUUUUCAAGUUUUUUAGCCACCAACGCUUGAUAAU
rnacentral:lncRNA from 1 species